rnacentral:rRNA from 1 species
UACAGAGGUCUCAAGCGUUGUUCGGAUUCAUUGGGCGUAAAGGGUGCGUAGGUGGCGCUGUAAGUCGGGUGUGAAAUUUCGGAGCUUAACUCCGAAGCUGCAUUCGAUACUGCGGUGCUUGAGGACUGGAGAGGAGACUGGAAUUCAUGGUGUAGCAGUGAAAUGCGUAGAGAUCAUGAGGAAGACCAGUGGCGAAGGCGGGUCUCUGGACAGUUCCUGACACUGAGGCACGAAGGCCAGGGGAGCAAACGGG